UUACGGCUAUAUCACGUUGAAACACCGGUUCUCAUACGAUCACCGAAGUUAAGCAACGUCGAUCCUGGUCAUUACCUAGAUAGCUGACGUCUUGGGAAUAUCAGGGGACGUAAG